UACGUAGGGGGCAAGCGUUAUCCGGAUUUACUGGGUGUAAAGGGGGCGCAGACGGCGAUGCAAGCCAGGAGUGAAAGCCCGGGGCCCAACCCCGGGACUGCUCUUGGAACUGCGUGGCUGGAGUGCAGGAGGGGCAGGCGGAAUUCCUGGUGUAGCGGUGAAAUGCGUAGAUAUCAGGAGGAACACCGGCGGCGAAGGCGGCCUGCUGGACUGAAACUGACGUUGAGGCUCGAAAGCGUGGGGAGCAAACAGG
rnacentral:rRNA from 1 species